CAGAAAGCCCAAGAACCAGCCACGCACCUGCAUGUUGCCGUUUUAGAUCUCUGUCUAGGAGUUUUGGUGCUACUAGAAGGACUCAGUUUCCUGACUUUAUGAAAAGUGGAGGAGACCAGUUCUGCCAUCUCCCUCUGUGUGGAAAGAGGGCUGAGUACUGGAGUCAAGGCAGAGCACAGGAGUUGGCUUCUAGGCUCAGCACCACAGGCCACGGUGUUGUUGAGGUAAGCCUGACAGGUGUGGUUGAUCCUUCAGGAAGCACUUGUGUGUCCCUGGCACACCACUGCUUGAACUUACAGGCUGGAAAGGGGCAGUUUCUCACUUUUCCCCUGUACGUAAUUCUCUUGGUGUUGCGCUUCCCUGGAAACUGCUCUUGUCUGCCUGGCCACUGGUCGCAGUCAGACACUGAGAGCUCAGGUUCCCAGCAUCACCUUCUAAGGCCUCAUCCUUGGCCUUCCUGCAGAGCCAGCCACUCCAGCUCCCCUUAAGGGCCCCUGCUGGAAUGAGGCCCACACAGUUGGACACCAGUUGGACACCCUGGUCUGGAAUCUGCCUCGGCCUGAAGUACCUCCUUCCCAACUGUGGAAUGGGGAUGUUGGUGUCAGCGGAAUCGUCGGGUGUUUGUGGCCCACUUAACUGUGAGCUCCAGUUGACAGCUGCAUGACUUUGAUGCCGACCCUCGGGAUUACUAGAUGUGUUAUAAUUAACUCUGCUGGGAGGGUGUGGACUCUGGGGUCAGCCAGGAUGCCUGAGGUUGCCUGAUUAAGAACAAGAGCUACCCCAAGCCUUGAGUCCAACUGUGACCAUAAAAGGCUUUCUUCAGCCACUUUAUUUAAAGACUGACACCAGCUAGCAUAGUCAUCUGGUAGCCUUGGGAGCCCCCUGAGGUAAAUCUGACAUAUUCUGUUCCUCACUCCUGUUCUGUACCUGUCAAAAUUCUGUAGGGGGCGGGGUGGGGGUGGGGGAGGCUGAAGAGAUGGCUCAGAGAUUAAGAGCACUGGCUGCUCUUCCAGAGGUCCUGAGUUCAAUUCCCAGCAACCACAUGGUGGCUCAUAAUCAUCUAUAGUGUAAUUUGGUGUUCUCUUCCAGUGGGCAGGCAUACACACAGGCAGAACAAUGUAUGUAUGUAUGUAUGUAUGUAUGAAUAAAUAAAUAAAUCUUUUUUAAAAAAGUGA
rnacentral:lncRNA from 1 species